AGAGCGGACUCAGAGCACCUCAAGACACAUCUUUUAUCUGUCUAAACCUGUGCACUGAGAGGCUCAUGGGUUCACCAGUGUAUGGCAGACAGUACCACAGAGCUGUGAAAUACAAGAAGUGAAGAAAAACAACAUUGGCCUGUCUCAUAUCCUCUCGAAUGAUACCAUAUGAUCA